ensembl:lncRNA
AAACGGGGAGAGAACCCCAAAAAACAGGGAGGGAACCCAAAAAUGGGGGGAGAACCACAAAAAAACAGGGAGGCAAACCAAAAAGCAGGAGAGAACCCCAAAAAAUGGGGGGAGAACCACAAAAAACGGGGAGAGAACCCUAAAACCGGGGAGAGUAACCCAAAAAUGGGGAGAAAACCCCAGAACUGGGGGCAGAACCCCAGAAAUGGGGGAGAACCCCAAAACCAGGGAGACCCCCAGAAAUGGGAGAACACCAAAACCACAGAGAACCUCAAAAACGGGGGGAGAACCCAAAAAAGGGGAGAGAAACCUAAAAAUGGGGAGAGACAGAACCCCAAAAAUGGGGCACAGAACCCCAAAAAUGGUGAGUCCAAGAAAAGGGGAAUAAAUGCCAAAAAUGGGGAGAGAACCCCAAAACAGAGAAUCAAAAAAAAAGGGGAAAUAAUCUCAAAAAUGGAGAAGAAACGCCAUGAAUGGAGACCCCAAAAAAGAGGAGAGAACCCCAAAGACGGACAAGAACCUCAUAAAUGGGGAGAGAUCCCCAAAAACAGAGAAUCCCAAAAAAAGGGAGAGAAACCUAAAAAAGGAGAGCGAAUUCCAAAGUUGGAGAGAGACAUAACCCCAAAAUUUGGGCAGAGAACCCAAAAAAUGGAGGAAAGAACCCCAAAAUAGGGAGAGAACCUAAAAUUUGGCAGAGAACGACAAACAUGGGCAGAGAACCCUAAAAAAUGGGGAAAGAAGGAUCAGGGACCCCAAAAUGGGGAGAGAACUCUAAAAAUAGGGGGAGACAAAGCAGGGACCCCAAAAUUCAUGUGGGGGGAGAGAGAAACUGGUCAGGAAUCCCAAAACUGGGAUGGGGGGACAAAAAAAAAAUCAGGAACCCCAAAACUGGUGGGGGACAUCUCAGAACCCCAAAAAUGGAAGGAAAAACAUCAGGACCCCAAAAACAGGGGGAGAAAAUCGUCAAGACCCAAAAACUGGGGGGGGAGGGGGGGUGUGGAAAGAUCAGAACCCCAUAAACUGGGGGGGCACAGAGAGCCCCCAUUUUCCCCCUUUUUCUCCUCUUUUUGCAGUUUCCUGCCCCGUGUCCCCAAUUCUUGCCCCGUUUUUCCCUCCCUGCCCCAUUUUCCUGCAAUUCCCCCCAAUUUCUCCUCAUUUCCCCCAUUCCUGCCCUAUUUCUCCACCCCCGCCCGUUUUCCCCCAUUCCUGCCCCACUUUUCCUCAUUUUUUGCCUUCAUUAUUCCCCAUUUCCCCCAAUUUUCCCCAUUCCUGCCCCAUUUUUUCCCCUUCCCAUCCCAUUUCCCUCUUCCCCCAAUUUUCCCCAUUCCCAGCUCCCACUCCUGUCCCAUUUUCCCCAAUUUUCCCCCAUUUCCACCCAUUUUCCCAAUUUUUCCCCAUUUCCCCCCCAUUUUUCCUAUUUUUCCCCCCAAUUUUUCCCAAUUCCCCCCAAUUUCCCCCGUUUUUGCCAGUUUCCCCCCAGUUUUUCCCAAUUUCUGCCCCAUUUUUCCCAAUUUUCCCUGUUUCCCCAAUUUCCCCCAUCUCCCCAUUUUCUCAAUCCCUCCCAAUUUUUCCCCAUUUUCUCCCAUUUCCCCCCCAUUUUUCCCAUUUUUUCUCAAUUCCCCCCAUUCCCAUUUUCUCCAAAUUUUUCCCCAUUUCCCCUGUUUUCCUCCCAGUUUUUCCCAAAUUUUUCCCCAUUUUCUCCUCAAUUUUUCCCAUUUUCCCCCCAGUUUUUCCCCCAACUCCCCCUGUUUUUUCCCCAAUUUUCCCGUU